AAAUUAUAGAGAAAGAUUAGCUACUCAUUUUUUUAUUUUUUUUAAAUAAAUUUAGUUAGAAAUAUAAAAUAAUUAUUAGACCAUGUGUUUAGGAUCUCGUAUACAAACCAUUAAGUCCUUAAUUAACUACAUCAAAUUUUGCUAUUUUGAUAUUUUAAAAGAUCUAAAAAUAUUUAAAAAUACUAUAGAACUCUAUUUUUUUUAUAUGUUGUAAAAUAGUGGUGGAGACAUCUGAAAAAUU
rnacentral:lncRNA from 1 species